ensembl:lincRNA Snhg6 small nucleolar RNA host gene 6
UUUCUCGGCAGCGCCGUAGAGCGCGAGCAGACGGUGCAGCAUGGCGCACAGCGGAGGCCGCGGGCGGCCGAACCCGGCGUGUCCUUGGGCGUUUCCAGGUGCAACAAAACCUGUCUCAUUUGAAGGUGCUUGAACAAAUAUUUUCUAAACACUUGUCAUGGAGAGUGAUUGAAACAAGCUGCCAGGACUACAUUUGCCAAUAACAAGCAUGUAGGUGGCUGUAGUGGAUGUCCAACUUUGGGAGCUGUGAUGUCUAAAAAUCCUUUAUUGUUUUGGCUUACAUAUUGGAAGGUAAAAUGAAGGCCAUGAACAAAGUCAAGAAGCCAUAAACAGAAGCAAAUGGUGAAAAUUAAUAUCUAAUUUAAUAUUAAUAAGUUAUAUAAAUAAACAGUUAUUCUU